rnacentral:rRNA from 1 species
GGAAUCUACCGUACCCUACGGAAUAGCUCCGGGAAACUGGAAUUAAUACCGUAUACGCCCUUAGGGGGAAAGAUUUAUCGGGGUAUGAUGAGCCCGCGUUGGAUUAGCUAGUUGGUGGGGUAAAGGCCUACCAAGGCGACGAUCCAUAGCUGGUCUGAGAGGAUGAUCAGCCACAUUGGGACUGAGACACGGCCCAAACUCCUACGGGAGGCAGCAGUGGGGAAUAUUGGACAAUGGGCGCAAGCCUGAUCCAGCCAUGCCGCGUGAGUGAUGAAGGUCUUAGGAUUGUAAAGCUCUUUCACCGAUGAAGAUAAUGACGGUAGUCGGAGAAGAAGCCCCGGCUAACUUCGUGCCAGCAGCCGCGGUAAUACGAAGGGGGCUAGCGUUGUUCGGAAUUACUGGGCGUAAAGCGCACGUAGGCGGAUAAUUAAGUCAGGGGUGAAAUCCCGCAGCUCAACUGCGGAACUGCCUUUGAUACUGG